GGGGAUAACACUUGGAAACAGGUGCUAAUACCGUAUAACACUAUUUUCCGCAUGGAAGAAAGUUGAAAGGCGCUUUUGCGUCACUGAUGGAUGGACCCGCGGUGCAUUAGCUAGUUGGUGAGGUAACGGCUCACCAAGGCCACGAUGCAUAGCCGACCUGAGAGGGUGAUCGGCCACACUGGGACUGAGACACGGCCCAGACUCCUACGGGAGGCAGCAGUAGGGAAUCUUCGGCAAUGGACGAAAGUCUGACCGAGCAACGCCGCGUGAGUGAAGAAGGUUUUCGGAUCGUAAAACUCUGUUGUUAGAGAAGAACAAGGAUGAGAGUAGAACGUUCAUCCCUUGACGGUAUCUAACCAGAAAGCCACGGCUAACUACGUGCCAGCAGCCGCGGUAAUACGUAGGUGGCAAGCGUUGUCCGGAUUUAUUGGGCGUAAAGCGAGCGCAGGCGGUUUCUUAAGUCUGAUGUGAAAGCCCCCGGCUCAACCGGGGAGGGUCAUUGGAAACUGGGAGACUUGAGUGCAGAAGAGGAGAGUGGAAUUCCAUGUGUAGCGGUGAAAUGCGUAGAUAUAUGGAGGAACACCAGUGGCGAAGGCGGCUCUCUGGUCUGUAACUGACGCUGAGGCUCGAAAGCGUGGGGAGCGAACAGGAUUAGAUACCCUGGUAGUCCACGCCGUAAACGAUGAGUGCUAAGUGUUGGAGGGUUUCCGCCCUUCAGUGCUGCAG
rnacentral:rRNA from 1 species